ensembl:lncRNA
GCAGGAGGCCCCUCUGACACCCAGGGGGCGCUCUCGCGGCGGGGAGCAGUUAGCUGGUAUCAGCAACCGCACCAAGCCUAGCAAAGAGAACAGUGUGGAGGUAUUCGCAGUCAUCCCAAAGAGCAUUAUCACCGCUUUCUUCAGAGGCUUAUCCUGCCUGUCUGACCUUAGAUCUCACCCCCUCUACUCUGUCUGUCCUGCUCAUGCAUCUGCCUCAUGAGGACAGAACUUGUCUGGUGUCUCCUCUAUGACCACAGUGCCUCAGUGCCUGACACACCAAAGGUUAAGCACCUUGUCCCAGGCUGCCUGGUUCACUAAAAACAACAAAAUCCAGUGGGCACAUGCUACACACCUGAUACCAGCCUGGAUGCUGGUGGAGAGCAAGACAAAACAGGACUCUGCCCUUGGAACCUGAAGUUGGAGGUGAGCAGAGAGAAAGUCAAGUAUUUCAACAAAAAGCAGAUUAUCACUGCCGCAGAGCUAGGACUGGAAUCUGACUGUCACGCCUUCUAGUGAGAUUUCCUUUCCAAGCCCAAGGGUGCUGCCUUCUCCACCUAAAGGGACAUUUCAGCUGGGGAAACAGUCAAGUAAGUGUUUGAAGUUUGGCCUUAGUCUCUUCCAAGGGUCCCACACUCCUGCCAUCCUUUUAAUAGACUCCUAAGAAGCAGGAACACCCGUUGUAGCUCUAAGUAUUUAACCUUAAGAGCUCAUGCUGACUCCAAUCCUUCUACAUAAGACAGAGGAGCAAUUCCGGAUUUAGGUGGGAAUUAGGUGGGAAACAGAAAGCAGUGCAAACCAGGGGUCAGAUACUCUGGGUUCAAAUCCCUUCUAACCUCAGGCAGGUUACUCAGUCUCUUGUGAUUUGAUUUCCUAUUGCUGAAGUGGAAACACUAAUGCCUCUGUCACUGGUUGUUGCAAAGAUGAAAUUAAAAUGAUACCUACAGAGCACUCAGCACUGUGCCUGGAACUCAGUGAGAUUUCACCAAACAGAGGCUGCAAACCUGUUCCACCUGUUGCUUUAAUGACUCCAUCUCUACCUGAUAUAUUUGUGAAAAGUGAGCCAAAAACUACUCGGAAUUCAAACCCAAGGACAUACACUCAAAGUGUUCAAAACAUAAACUGCUAUCUAGUUGAGUGACUUGAGGAACUGUCUCAAAUUCCCAUACUUGGGCAGACUCUGCGCUGAAUGGAAAGGAAUCUGGGGCCUUGACAGAGACACAAGAUAGAAGGAGUGUGGGUCCCUCAACAACCAUCAGGAAGGAUGCCUGCUAACCAGGAGCAGCCCCACUGGAACUUUUCUCUCUGAGAAAUAAAAGUUUUCUUGAGUUGACUCACUG